GGCUCAGAAUCAACGCUGGCGGCGCGCCUAACACAUGCAAGUCGAACGAGAAAGCCGGAGCAAUCUGGUGAGUACAGUGGCGUACGGGUGAGUAACACGUGGAUGAUCUACCUUUUAGUUCGGAAUAACCAUGGGAAACCGUGGCUAAUACCGGAUAAGCUCGAGAGAGGAAAGUCGCAAGACGCUGAAAGAGGAGUCCGCGGCCGAUUAGCUAGUUGGCAGGGUAAAAGCCUACCAAGGCAGAGAUCGGUAGCCGGCCUGAGAGGGCACACGGCCACACUGGCACUGAAACACGGGCCAGACUCCUACGGGAGGCAGCAGUGGGGAAUCUUGCACAAUGGGGGAAACCCUGAUGCAGCGACGCCGCGUGAGCGAUGAAGCCCUUCGGGGUGUAAAGCUCUUUCGUCAGGGACGAUUAUGACGGUACCUGGAGAAGCAGCUGCGGCUAACUACGUGCCAGCAGCCGCGGUAAUACGUAGGCAGCGAGCGUUGUUCGGAGUUACUGGGCGUAAAGGGUGUGUAGGCGGUUGUUUAAGUUUGGUGUGAAAUCUCCCGGCUCAACUGGGAGGGUGCGCCGAAUACUGAAUGACUUGGAGUGCGGGAGAGGAAAGUGGAAUUCCUGGUGUAGCGGUGAAAUGCGUAGAUAUCAGGAGGAACACCGGUGGUGUAGACGGCUUUCUGGACCGUAACUGACGCUGAGACACGAAAGCAUGGGUAGCAAACAGGAUUAGAUACCCUGGUAGUCCACGCCCUAAACGAUGCAUAUUUGGUGUGGGCAGUUCAUUCUGUCCGUGCCGGAGCUAACGCGUUAAAUAUGCCGCCUGGGGAGUACAGUCGGCAGGCUGAAACU
rnacentral:rRNA from 1 species